rnacentral:rRNA from 1 species
GAUGAACGCUGGCGGCGUGCCUAAUACAUGCCAGUCGAGCGAACAGAUGAGGAGCUUGCUCCUCUGACGUUAGCGGCGGACGGGUGAGUAACACGUGGAUAACCUACCUAUAAGACUGGGAUAACUUCGGGAAACCGGAGCUAAUACCGGAUAAUAUAUUGAACCGCAUGGUUCAAUAGUGAAAGACGGUUUUGCUGUCACUUAUAGAUGGAUCCGCGCCGCAUUAGCUAGUUGGUAAGGUAACGGCUUACCAAGGCAACGAUGCGUAGCCGACCUGAGAGGGUGAUCGGCCACACUGGAACUGAGACACGGUCCAGACUCCUACGGGAGGCAGCAGUAGGGAAUCUUCCGCAAUGGGCGAAAGCUUGACGGAGCAACGCCGCGUGAGUGAUGAAGGUCUUCGGAUCGUAAAACUCUGUUAUUAGGGAAGAACAAAUGUGUAAGUAACUAUGCACGUCUUGACGGUACCUAAUCAGAAAGCCACGGCUAACUACG